rnacentral:rRNA from 1 species
GUCCACGCCGUAAACGAUGAGUACUGGGUGUCGCGGGUAGUUGACCCCUGCGGUGCCGUAGCUAACGCGUUAAGUACUCCGCCUGGGGAUUACGGUCGCAAGAUUAAAACUCAAAGGAAUUGACGGGGGCCCCGCACAAGCGGUGGAGCAUGUGGUUUAAUUCGACGCAACGCGAAGAACCUUACCUGGGCUAGACAACGGUGGACCUCCCCAGAGAUGGGGCUUUCCCUUCGGGGACUGCCGGUUCAGGUGCUGCAUGGCUGUCGU